CCAAUCCCAUCUUUAAGUUAUACUCCUCGUUAUAUGUAAAAAGUCAUUAGCCUCCAUUCCCACGAAAACCCUAUUUUCUACGGCUAUCAAUUUCCGACAUACGUUACCACCAACAUCUCUUUCUCCCCAUCACUCUACUUCUUCUCCUUCGAUCCAAAACAUCAACAACCAUCUGAGCCUCCAUCACAACCAUUUACUUCCACCAUUUCACCACAAUAAUCACCAAGAAAAACUUUUAAUCUAAACUAACGAUGCUACCUUAAGCCGCUUCCACCACUACGUUGACAUUAGAGGUUGUAAGAAGUCGACUUCUGCUAAACACACUCGAUUUUGCCGCCACCCUCCUCAUCGCCACCUCCGGUCAUCUCCACUACAGGUAUGUUUUUUUUUUUUGAAACGUACUAAGUUUCUUCCCAGGCUAUUUGUUCGCUUUACCCCUUUCUACACCGGGAGCGGACGAUCUCCACCGAAGAUUACGAACUCCUGUAGGAGAUGGACACAGGAAAGGGGAUGAAUGCAGCAGCGUAUAUGUCGUUGGUGCUUCAUGUGGGGUUAUGAUUGGUUCCAUUAUGGGGGUAUGAAGCUUGAAAAUCCAGCAAGAUUUGGAGAUAAUAAAGAGAUGUUUACUGUUAUGGAUGAAGUUAUGGCUGCUUCCCACCAGGUUAUGGAAAAUGUUUGCAGUUGAACUCACGAAAUUCAGAAGCUCUGUAUGAACCUUCUUGAAAAGGUUGCAAUGUGGAACCGGGCCGUAUUUACUAUCACGUUUCAGUUAUUGAUUCCUUACAAUAUGAGAAUUCGGACCAUGUUCUAUCACGACUUGUUCUACAAGAGUCUUUUCACCUUCUGGUGUUCUUGACAUUCACUAGAGACCUGGAAGUUCCUUCUAAACUCAACAUGAAGGGGUAUGCACUUAUACAUUAUGUUGUAACUACAUUAACUAAAAUACUGCUAAUGUAUUUACUUUUUUUUUAAUUUUAAUUUUAACUGGGACGAUUCCGUGGAAGAACUGAGAUAGCAUCAGAUCAAAGGGAGAAAUUUCUGCAGACAUUCCAACAAGUACAACAACAAGGAAGUGACGCCCUUCUUGGAAUACCUCCUAUAUCUUGAGGAACUCAUAAGCAAUUUUCAACACAUCAAAACCCUCUUCUAGAACAGUUUAAUUCCCAAAGCUCAAGUGGAUUGGGUGGGGCACCGCCUGCAAAUCCCAACACGGCCACAUCAGCACCAAAACAAAAUCUAAUCCAUUUACAGUUAAGUCAACAAAUGUCAACCAGUUCUAAAGAUAGCGCAAAUAAUUAUUCAAAAGUUGAUGAGAUUGAACAACAGCAACAACAAAUACACCAACAAAGUGUUACAUCUGAUGACACAACACCUAAUCCUACACAAUCUCCCGUCCUUAACAAGAACACUUCCAAUGAAGAAGAUUCAAAGGGAUCUGGGACUAUGACAAAGGCAGCACAAAGCAGACGCGAUGUUGACCUGUCACCUGGUCAUCCGUUACAAUCAAACCAGUUGGUUAGCUUGGGUGUGACUGGUAGAAGAAGCAUGUCUGACCUGGGUGCAAUUGGAGACAACCUUAGUGGGUUAGCCAUGUCCCUAGGUAGGACCCACAACGAACAAUACAACCUCCUAAUGCUUUAGUCUACCUUCUACAAACUCCCUGAACCCCUAGACUUAGAACGUGCCAAAAGCUACACUGCAGUACAUAUUAUUACAUCAUACUUUUAUUUUUUAUAAUAAAGUAUUUAACUCUAUUACAAAGGCACCCUACAGUGACUGCAAAAAGCUAUCCAUAAGUGCAAGCUCCAAUUGUGAACAACCCAGCCUUGUGGGAACGUCUUGGAUCCGACAACAUUAUGCCCGAUUCUUUAUUUUUUGCAUUUUGUUAUCAAUAGAAUGAUUAUCAACAAUAUAUGGCUGCAAAAGAAUUAAAGAAACAAUCAUGGAGGUACCAUAAAAAAUACAACACGUGGUUUCAAAGACAUGAAAAGACAAAAUUUGCAAAACUGGAACAAGGUCAGAAUUGUUAGAGGCAAAAAUCCAUGCAAAUCUUUUUCAAAAACAUUAUUUGAUUAUCAUAAUAUAUUCCUAAUAAAACUGUGCUACCCUAAACCAAAAAAUCAUCUCUAACCAUUUAAAAAUAUGGUGGGAGAAGAAGAAUGGUACGAUCCAAAAUGAUAUCAAUUGUUGUGAGCAUUUUGAAUGCCAUAAAUAAUUUUUUUCAGUAUACAUAUUUUACUAUAUUUUGUA